rnacentral:rRNA from 1 species
AUUGAACGCUGGCGGCAGGCCUAACACAUGCAAGUCGGGCGGUAGAGAGAAGCUUGCUUCUCUUGGGAGCGGCGGACGGGUGAGUAAUGCCUAGGAAUCUGCCUGGUAGUGGGGGAUAACGUUCGGAAACGGACGCUAAUACCGCAUACGUCCUACGGGAGAAAGCAGGGGACCUUCGGGCCUUGCGCUAUCAGAUGAGCCUAGGUCGGAUUAGCUAGUUGGUGAGGUAAUGGCUCACCAAGGCGACGAUCCGUAACUGGUCUGAGAGGAUGAUCAGUCACACUGGAACUGAGACACGGUCCAGACUCCUACGGGAGGCAGCAGUGGGGAAUAUUGGACAAUGGGCGAAAGCCUGAUCCAGCCAUGCCGCGUGUGUGAAGAAGGUCUUCGGAUUGUAAAGCACUUUAAGUUGGGAGGAAGGGUUGUAGAUUAAUACUCUGCAAUUUUGACGUUACCGACAGAAUAAGCACCGGCUAACUCUGUGCCAGCAGCCGCGGUAAUACAGAGGGUGCAAGCGUUAAUCGGAAUUACUGGGCGUAAAGCGCGCGUAGGUGGUUUGUUAAGUUGGAUGUGAAAUCCCCGGGCUCAACCUGGGAACUGCAUUCAAAACUGACUGACUAGAGUAUGGUAGAGGGUGGUGGAAUUUCCUGUGUAGCGGUGAAAUGCGUAGAUAUAGGAAGGAACACCAGUGGCGAAGGCGACCACCUGGACUAAUACUGACACUGAGGUGCGAAAGCGUGGGGAGCAAACAGG